UAAAUUCUGUUCAGUAAUAAGAAAGUUGAUAUUUUAUAAACUUCAGUAAUUUAUGUUUUUAUCCCAAAAACCACUAUAAUGGGCCUCAAAUUGUCAAUUUAAAUUCGCGCCAAAGUAGUUAGAUUCCCCGGCUAUAUCGUGAAUCCCGUGAAAAUAGAAAUAGUAAGAGUCCACGGCUUAGCCGUGAAUCCCAUAAAAUUUAGUAUUUGGCGGGACAUUACCCUUUAAAUAGACUGGACUAGAUAUGCCUUGCGCACACCACCUUACGACUUUAUAGACGAAUCUAUGUCUGAAUUAUUUUCUUGCUAGAAAUUUAUGCUCGAUCGAGCUUCUUCCGCCAGACGAUUUUACCUGGUGAUGUCAUAACCCGGAAGUACAAUGCCCGAGGUUCACUUGUCUUCACUCGCCUGGAUGUGAUAUUCCCAGCGCAGAGCUUUCGUCCCAUGGUUGUGCCGUAAAACGCAAAGACGAUGAUUUUUGUUAUCCUCUGAAGUCAGCUCAGGGAUGCAAUCACCUACCACCAUAGGGAGCCAACACGGAAUCAACGUAUUCACGGUUUAAAGGGACUGUAUUUUGAAUUUAGAAGCUACGUUUUGUUUGUGCUACUUAAAGUUCACAAUUACAUUAAAGACCUGUGUCACGUCAGAUUAGAAUGGACUAUAAGAA